AACGCACAUUGCGCCUUUUGGUAUUCCGAGAGGCACGCCUGUUCGAGCGUCAGUACAACAUCCAAUCCUUCUUUUAGUGAUUGGGAUUUGGCAGGGGAUUCGGCCGCGCGCUUUCGGGUGCACCGGCCUCCCCCGCUUAAACGCGUAGAAAGUUAGCGGACACGUCCACGACCGCAGAGACUAGUAAUCAUUCUUGUCACCAAAGUCUGGGCCGACCACCAAAUUAAGGGACCGUGGCAACACGGCAACCCUCCUGACCUUGACCUCGAAUCAGACGAGGAUACCCGCUGAACUUAA
rnacentral:misc_RNA from 2 species